GCGAGCUUGCCUAGAUGAUUUUAGUGCUUGCACUAAAUGAAACUAGAUACAAGCGAGCGGCGGACGGGUGAGUAACACGUGGGUAACCUGCCCAAGAGACUGGGAUAACACCUGGAAACAGAUGCUAAUACCGGAUAACAACACUAGACGCAUGUCUAGAGUUUGAAAGAUGGUUCUGCUAUCACUCUUGGAUGGACCUGCGGUGCAUUAGCUAGUUGGUAAGGUAACGGCUUACCAAGGCAAUGAUGCAUAGCCGAGUUGAGAGACUGAUCGGCCACAUUGGGACUGAGACACGGCCCAAACUCCUACGGGAGGCAGCAGUAGGGAAUCUUCCACAAUGGACGAAAGUCUGAUGGAGCAACGCCGCGUGAGUGAAGAAGGGUUUCGGCUCGUAAAGCUCUGUUGGUAGUGAAGAAAGAUAGAGGUAGUAACUGGCCUUUAUUUGACGGUAAUUACUUAGAAAGUCACGGCUAACUACGUGCCAGCAGCCGCGGUAAUACGUAGGUGGCAAGCGUUGUCCGGAUUUAUUGGGCGUAAAGCGAGUGCAGGCGGUUCAAUAAGUCUGAUGUGAAAGCCUUCGGCUCAACCGGAGAAUUGCAUCAGAAACUGUUGAACUUGAGUGCAGAAGAGGAGAGUGGAACUCCAUGUGUAGCGGUGGAAUGCGUAGAUAUAUGGAAGAACACCAGUGGCGAAGGCGGCUCUCUGGUCUGCAACUGACGCUGAGGCUCGAAAGCAUGGGUAGCGAACAGGAUUAGUUACCCUGGUAGUCCAUGCCGUAAACGAUGAGUGCUAAGUGUUGGGAGGUUUCCGCCUCUCAGUGCUGCAGCUAACGCAUUAAGCACUCCGCUUGGGGAGUACGACCGCAAGGUUGAAACUCAAAGGAAUUGACGGGGGCCCGCACA
rnacentral:rRNA from 1 species